GCCAUUAAUCUAGCCCCCCCCAUUCAAAUGAAUAAUAAAAAUUUGUGCCACAAACUAAAACAUUCUAAUACUUUAGUAAAGGCGAUUGAAAAAUUUUUAGGAGCUAUAUAAGUAGUACCGCAAGGGAAAGAUGAAAUAAAAAUGAAAUAGUUAAUAAGCACAAGAAAGUAGAGAUUCACCCUCGUACCUUUUGCAUCAUGGUUUAACUAGUCAAAUUAAGCAAAAUGAUUUACAGUUUAACUUCCCGAAACUAAGCGAGCUACUUUAAGGCAGCUUACUGAGCAAACCCGUCUCUGUUGCAAAAGAGUGGGGAGACCUUUAAGUAGUGGUGACAGACCUAACGAGCUUAGUGAUAGCUGGUUACUUGAGAAAAGGAUUUAAGUCCAACCUAAAGUCAUAAUAAUCUAACUAAAUAAAAAUUUUACUUUAAGGACAUUCAAGUAAGGUACAGCCUACUUGAAACAGGAUACAACCUCCAAAGAAGGGUAAUCUAUUUUAAAAUAAUUAAGUAGGCUUAAAAGCAGCCACCUUUAAGAUAGCGUCAAAGCUCCGCUAUUUAUUUCCCCAAUCCCCCUAAUUCCCCAGAACCCUCUACUGGUAUCGAGUACUUCUAUAAUUUUAUAGAACAUUUUAUGUUAAAACUAGUAACAAGAAAAAGAACUUCACUUUAAUGCAAGUGUAAAUCAGAUAGGACGCACCACUGACUAUUAACAUAUCUACAGCAAAUUAACAACCUCACAAGAAAAACUUAAUUUCCAUUGUGUUUAUCUAACACCAGAGCAUUACAAGUAAGAUUAAAAGAAAAAGAAGGAACUCGGCAAACAUUAACCCCGCCUGUUUACCAAAAACAUCGCCUCUUGCCCAAUUAUAAGAGGUCCAGCCUGCCCAGUGACUUUGUUCAACGGCCGCGGUAUCCUAACCGCGCGAAGGUAGCGUAAUCACUUGUUCUUUAAAUGAGGACUAGUAUGAACGGCAUCACGAGGGUUACACUGUCUCCUUUUUCUAAUCAGUGAAUCUAAUCUCCCCGUGAAGAAGCGGGGCUAAACUUAUAAGACGAGAAGACCCUAUGGAGCUUUAAACUAAAUGACAUUUGCUUUAACUCCCGAUACUUCAGAGUAACCUAUACUCACUACAGCUUUUUGAUCAUUAGUUUUAGGUUGGGGUGACCACGGAGAAAAGAAUAACCUCCACAUUGAACGGGAUUUGAUCCCUGAGCCGUGAGCAACAACUCUACGCACCAAUAAACUGACAUUAAUUGACCCAAUAUAUUGAUCAACGAACCAAGUUACCCUAGGGAUAACAGCGCAAUCCGCUUUAAGAGCUCCUAUCGACAAGCGGGUUUACGACCUCGAUGUUGGAUCAGGGUAUCCUAGUGGUGCAGCCGCUACUGACGGUUCGUUUGUUCAACGAUUAAAACCCU
rnacentral:rRNA from 1 species